rnacentral:rRNA from 1 species
CCAUACCGAACACGACCGUUAAGCCCUCCAGCGCCAAUGGUACUUGGACCGCAGGGUCCUGGGAGAGUAGGACGUCGCCAAGC